UUCUUUUUCUUGAUCUAAGUCUGCAACACAAUAUCUUUCUUUAGAGAAAACCAAAUACACAGCAGUGAAAGAUCUUGUAACGUCUAUCAUUUGCCUUUCAAUAAACACAAACGUGACACUGGACUCGCUCAUUAUCUUUUGCAGCUGUCAUGGAUCAUCUCAAUCNUGAUAUGGAAAAAGAUGCAGAAUUAAUCAUUAUCUUCUCGACCAUAGUUAUACACAAUCUCAAUCCCAGAAGGUGGAGUUGGAUUUCGAGUAAACUUGCUACCGCCAGGAGCCCAAGGAACAAUAUAAGGAUCAGGGUGCCGCCACUUAUUAUACUGUGCCUCACCUUCAGCAAUCAUUCUAUCAAUAGCGUCCAGAUCCUCCACAUGCUUGUUGGCGUCGAACUUCUCGCGGAGGUUCGAAGCAUCUUGAUAGAAGAGGUGGCGGUGGACGGCCCAGUUGAGAGUGUCUCUCAGAGAUCGACGAUAAAGGAUCUGAACUCUCUCCUUCUGUGCUGCUCUCCUCGCUAGGUACGCCGCGGUUGACACGCUCAUCUCUCUCGUUCGCUCGCGCUCUCUCUCUCUCUCUCGAUCUCUCGAC
rnacentral:misc_RNA from 1 species